AUAGUCUUCAAUAAUAUAAAGUGAAAAUUUACAUUUAUCUGUCAUUAGUAAUUAUGUUUUGUUCUGCCAAUUAUGUAGCUCCAACACUGCCAGACUCUUGCAUGCCACUAGGAAUGAAAUUAGAAGACAACCACACCAAGCUAGUUCCAGUACAAGUUGGAUUGCAACUGCUUCAUCAUGUGUUAUCUGUUAGCUUUGCUGCAAGUACAGAUGAAGAUAUUAUUCAAACUAAUGUUGCUGGAUUCAUUUGUGUCACAGCUGUUGACACAGAAAGACAGAUGUUGACAGUUCUGUCCCCACAACCUCGACCUCUUCCUAAAACAGUAUUCCUACUGAGUGAUGUCCAAUUUAUGGAUUCACAUUAAUGACUUUGUAACGGGUUUGGAAAACAAGACUUAUCUUCACACUGCAAGAUUUUCAUAACUGAUGUUUCACCAGAUGAGCAAAAUGUCAGCUAUGGUAGUUUCAAAUACCAGAAUCUUUGUCAGUACAAAAUUGUACAGUUAUUCUUCGUAAAACUCUUGUUCAAAUCAGUAUUGACAUUUAAUACCUUUAUAUUACUGAUAUCUCAUGCCACUUCUUUUUUUACUAAGCUCAAAAUAUAGAAAUUAAUAAAACAGUGGACAUGCAUUACUUGAAGAAAAAGGUUAAAAUAAAACAAAUAUUGUGUCAUGUGUUUCUGCAACCUAGGAUAAAUAUUCAUUCAGUAAAUUUUUUUUCCCUUUAUUGGAAAGUAACUUGACCUUAUUAAUGGAUAACUAUGUCAGUAGGCUUCAGUAGUUAAAAAAUCUGACAUUAGAGAAAUUUUUUAAACAAAAAAUCUGACGUUAAAGAAAUUUUUAAACCUUUAUUCUUGCAAGAUUUUUAUGUAUUUAUUUCUUCUGGAAAUUAACAGAACUUUUAAAAUGAUCAUAAUGUACAAUGUAAGUCUUAUUA